rnacentral:lncRNA from 1 species
AAAAAAAGCAUUUUUGAGUGGAAUUUGGCACCAAGCGAAAGUUGUUUAUGUGUUGAUUGAUGUAAGGUACGAGAAAGACACAUAGAGGGCAGAGGCAAGACCCUUUGUGAUCCACUCAAUAGGUUAUAAAGAUAGGUUAGAACUAAUGUAUGUGUCCUUCAAUAGUAGACAUGUAUUGUCUAUGCUUUAAGUAACACCUGAAGUCCUGAAUCAAAACCCCACCACUUUUAUAUCACAUCAGGCAUCUACGGUAUGACACCAAGCGAAAGUUGUUUAUGUGUUGAUUGAUGUAAGGUACGAUCAGUGGAACUGGGUUUGUGAUUGAAGACCCUUUGUGAUCCACUCAAUAGGUUAUAAAGAUAGGUUAGAACUAAUGUAUGUGUCCUUCAAUAUUAGACAUGUAUUGUCUAUGCUUUAAGUAACAC